AUCGAACGCUGGCGGCAGGCUUAACACAUGCAAGUCGAGCGGAGAUGAGGUGCUUGCACCUUAUCUUAGCGGCGGACGGGUGAGUAAUGCUUAGGAAUCUGCCCGAUAGUGGGGGACAACGUUUCGAAAGGAACGCUAAUACCGCAUACGUCCUACGGGAGAAAGUGGGGGCUCUUCGGACCUCACGCUAUCGGAUGAGCCUAGGUCGGAUUAGCUAGUUGGUGGGGUAAAGGCUCACCAAGGCGACGAUCCGUAACUGGUCUGAGAGGAUGAUCAGUCACACUGGAACUGAGACACGGUCCAGACUCCUACGGGAGGCAGCAGUGGGGAAUAUUGGACAAUGGGCGAAAGCCUGAUCCAGCCAUGCCGCGUGUGUGAAGAAGGUCUUCGGAUUGUAAAGCACUUUAAGUCGGGAGGAAGGGCUGCAGGUUAAUACCUUGCAGCCUUGACGUUACCGACAGAAUAAGCACCGGCUAACUUCGUGCCAGCAGCCGCGGUAA
rnacentral:rRNA from 1 species